rnacentral:rRNA from 1 species
UACGUAGGGGGCAAGCGUUGUCCGGAUUUAUUGGGCGUAAAGAGCUCGUAGGCGGCUCGGUAAGUCGGAUGUGAAACCUCCAGGCUCAACCUGGAGACGCCAUCUGAUACUGCCGUGGCUUGAGUCCGGUAGAGGAGCAGGGAAUUCCUGGUGUAGCGGUGAAAUGCGCAGAUAUCAGGAGGAACACCAGCGGCGAAGGCGCUGCUCUGGGCCGAUACUGACGCUGAGGAGCGAAAGCGUGGGGAGCGAACAGG